GCCGCCUUAGCUCAGUUGGCAGAGCGACACACUCGUAACGUGUAGGCCCGGAGUUCGAUCCUCCGAGGUGGCU
rnacentral:tRNA from 1 species